rnacentral:rRNA from 1 species
UACGAAGGGGGCUAGCGUUGUUCGGAAUUACUGGGCGUAAAGCGCACGUAGGCGGAUUUGUAAGUCAGGGGUGAAAUCCCGGGGCUCAACCUCGGAACUGCCUUUGAUACUGCAAGUCUCGAGUCCGAUAGAGGUGAGUGGAAUUCCUAGUGUAGAGGUGAAAUUCGUAGAUAUUAGGAAGAACACCAGUGGCGAAGGCGACAUACUGGUCCGUUACUGACGCUGAGGCUCGAAAGCGUGGGGAGCAAACAGG